CAACCCCCCUGCCAGAGCAGGACCAAAACCAGGGCAGGUCACUCAGAAAGGCAUCCAGACAGGUCUGGAAAGUCUCCAGAGAAGGAGACUCCACAGCCUCUCUGGGCAGCCUGUCCCAGGGCUCUGUCACCCUCACAGCAAAGAAGUUCUUCCUCAUCUUGAGCUGGAACUUCCUGGGCUCCAUUUGAAUCCAUUGCCCC